UACAGAGGUCUCAAGCGUUGUUCGGAUUCAUUGGGCGUAAAGGGUGCGUAGGCGGCGCGGUAAGUCGGGUGUGAAAUCUCGGAGCUUAACUCCGAAACUGCAUUCGAUACUGCCGUGCUUGAGGACUGGAGAGGAGACUGGAAUUUACGGUGUAGCGGUGAAAUGCGUAGAUAUCAUGAGGAAGACCAGUGGCGAAGGCGGCACUCUGGGACGUGACUGACGCUGAGACGCGAAAGCGUGGGGAGCAAACAGG
rnacentral:rRNA from 1 species